UGGGACCCUAGUGGCGACGGGUGAGUAACGCGUGGGUAACCUGCCCCAUACCGGGGGAUAACACUUAGAAAUAGGUGCUAAUACCGCAUAAGCGCACGGUACUGCAUGGUACAGUGUGAAAAACUCCGGUGGUAUGGGAUGGACCCGCGUCUGAUUAGCUUGUUGGCGGGGUAACGGCCCACCAAGGCGACGAUCAGUAGCCGGCCUGAGAGGGUGGACGGCCACAUUGGGACUGAGACACGGCCCAAACUCCUACGGAAGGCAGCAG
rnacentral:rRNA from 1 species